rnacentral:rRNA from 1 species
AUGAACGCUGGCGGCGUGCCUAAUACAUGCAAGUCGAGCGAACGGACGAGAAGCUUGCUUCUCUGAUGUUAGCGGCGGACGGGGGAGUAACACGUGGAUAACCUACCUAUAAGACUGGGAUAACUUCGGGAAACCGGAGCUAAUACCGGAUAAUAUUUUGAACCGCAUGGUUCAAAAGUGAAAGACGGUCUUGCUGUCACUUAUAGAUGGAUCCGCGCUGCAUUAGCUAGUUGGUAAGGUAACGGCUUACCAAGGCAACGAUGCAUAGCCGACCUGAGAGGGUGAUCGGCCACCCUGGAACUGAGACACGGUCAAGACUCCUACGGGAGGCAGCAGUAGGGAAUCUUCCGCAAUGGGCGAAAGCCUGACGGAGCAACGCCGCGUGAGUGAUGAAGGUCUUCGGAUCGUAAAACUCUGUUAUUAGGGAAGAACAUAUGUGUAAGUAGCUGUGCACAUCUUGACGGUACCUAAUCAGAAAGCCACGGCUAACUACGUG